rnacentral:rRNA from 1 species
UACGUAGGGGGCUAGCGUUAUCCGGAAUUACUGGGCGUAAAGGGUGCGUAGGUGGUUUCUUAAGUCAGAGGUGAAAGGCUACGGCUCAACCGUAGUAAGCCUUUGAAACUGGGAAACUUGAGUGCAGGAGAGGAGAGUGGAAUUCCUAGUGUAGCGGUGAAAUGCGUAGAUAUUAGGAGGAACACCAGUAGCGAAGGCGGCUCUCUGGACUGUAACUGACGCUGAGGCACGAAAGCGUGGGGAGCAAACAGGAUUAGAUACCCCGGUAGUCCCUGAGCGGGCU